AUACUCUGGUUUCUCUUCAGAUCGUAUAAAUCUUUCGCCUUUUACUAAAGAUUUCCGUGGAGAGGAACAAAUCUGAGUCGUUGUUAAUUUUUUGAGGUCUUGCUUCUUGCAAGACU
rnacentral:snRNA from 1 species